AAUAGAUACCCAGGUAGUCCACGCCGUAAACGAUGUCGACUUGGAGGUUGUUCCCUUGAGGAGUGGCUUCCGGAGCUAACGCGUUAAGUCGACCGCCUGGGGAGUACGGCCGCAAGGUUAAAACUCAAAUGAAUUGACGGGGGCCCGCACAAGCGGUGGAGCAUGUGGUUUAAUUCGAUGCAACGCGAAGAACCUUACCUACUCUUGACAUCCACGGAACUUAGCAGAGAUGCUUUGGUGCCUUCGGGGACCGUGAGACAGGUGCUGCAUGGCUGUCGUCAGCUCGUGUUGUGAAAUGUUGGGUUAAGUCCCGCAACGAGCGCAACCCUUAUCCUUUGUUGCCAGCGGUUUAGGCCGGGAACUCAAAGGAGACUGCCAGUGAUAAACUGGAGGAAGGUGGGGAUGACGUCAAGUCAUCAUGGCCCUUACGAGUAGGGCUACACACGUGCUACAAUGGCGCAUACAAAGAGAAGCGACCUCGCGAGAGCAAGCGGACCUCAUAAAGUGCGUCGUAGUCCGGAUUGGAGU
rnacentral:rRNA from 1 species